GACGAACGCUGGCGGCGUGCCUAAUACAUGCAAGUAGAACGAGUUGCGAACGGGUGAGUAACGCGUGGUAACCUGCCUCAUAGCGGGGGAUAACUAUUGGAAACGAUAGCUAAUACCGCAUACCAUCAGAUGUGCCCAGAUGGGAUUAGCUAGUUGGUGGGGUACCGGCUCACCAAGCCGACGAGCCUUAGCUGGUCUGAGAGGAUGACCAGCCACACUGGAACUGUGACACGGUCCAGACUCCUACGGGAGGCAGCAGUGGGGAAUAGUGCGCAAUGGGCGCAAGCCUGAUGCAGCCAUGCCGCGUGUAUGAAGAAGGCCUUCGGGUUGUAAAGUACUUUCAGCGGGGAGGCGUUACCCGCAGAAGAAGCACCGGCUAACUCCGUGCCAGCAGCCGCGGUAAUUC
rnacentral:rRNA from 1 species